AGUGAACGCUGGCGGUAGGCCUAACACAUGCAAGUCGAACGGCAGCACAGUAAGAGCUUGCUCUUACGGGUGGCGAGUGGCGGACGGGUGAGGAAUACAUCGGAAUCUACUUUUUCGUGGGGGAUAACGUAGGGAAACUUACGCUAAUACCGCAUACGACCUACGGGUGAAAGCAGGGGAUCUUCGGACCUUGCGCGAUUGAAUGAGCCGAUGUCGGAUUAGCUAGUUGGCGGGGUAAAGGCCCACCAAGGCGACGAUCCGUAGCUGGUCUGAGAGGAUGAUCAGCCACACUGGAACUGAGACACCGUCCAGACUCCUACGGGAGGCAGCAGUGGGGAAUAUUGGACAAUGGGCGCAAGCCUGAUCCAGCCAUACCGCGUGGGUGAAGAAGGCCUUCGGGUUGUAAAGCCCUUUUGUUGGGAAAGAAAAGCAGCAGGUUAAUACCCCGCUGUUCUGACGGUACCCAAAGAAUAAGCACCGGCUAACUUCGUG
rnacentral:rRNA from 1 species